rnacentral:misc_RNA from 1 species
GAAAUGCGAUAGGUAAUGUGAAACGCAUCACUCGUGAAUCAUCAAAUCUUUGAACGCACAUUGCACCCUCUGGUACUCUGGAGGGUAUGCCUGUUUGAGAAUUGGAACCCCAUCGACAACCCAGUUGUUGGAAAUGAGUGUUUGUGCGUGCACAUCACUUGAAAUAGCGGCGCAACGGCACUAGCAAACACUACGCUGUUGGACACUCUCUAAUGCUCUGCCUUAUGAAGCGUCCUUUGUGUAGGUUAUGUGCCGGCUGUGACGAGCGACAUGCGUGCGUGUCGACGAGCCACGCCUAGCGUGCAAGAGAAGGCCUAGCCGACUCCAAACUCAAUCUCAAAUCAGGUAGGACUACCCGCUGAACUUAA